UGAGUUGUGGUUUAGUGGUUACCAGGAUUUUUUUGGUAUAAAAAUAAGUUAAAAAAUAUUUUUUUAGGUAGGAAAACACUAACAACUUUUUCACCUUCUCUUCAAUGGUUUCAAAAGUGGGCAGGCAAACUGCUUUUUUAAAAAAGAAAUAAAAAGGGGUAUGCAACAUAUCACUCGCUCUUUGGGCAAGUAAAAAAGAUCAGGCCUUGCAAUCCCACACAUGUGACCUCUUCUUUUGAUGGUUGGGUACGCUAAGCCAUACAGGCCUAGUCACUUGACAUAUUGUUUACCAGAUAGAUGAAGUCCCUAAAAGACGCAAAUCGAGAGAAAGAGCACGGCGGAUAUGCCAAUAGCAGUUCCCUUAUUAUUAACCAGAGAGGGCUUCCGGGCACCAUGUCGGGGCUUAAAUCCGUCGACAUUCAAAGGACUUAAGAGUUGCAGGGGGACGGGGACAGAAAUAUUGGCCAGACCAUCCAUCAAUAAUGCUCAAAUUAGUUUAACUUGAGUAGGAAUUAAGGCAGGCAACAACUCUAGCCACUCUCAUAUUGGAAUACAGAGAUGAAGCAGAACCAAAAGCACAAGCAAUUUUCACAGAGACUGAAACUUUUGAGCAUUUUAAUAAAACAAGGUAAAUAAUAUAUAAUAAAGCUUUGAUAUCAUAUAAA